rnacentral:tRNA from 1 species
AGCAGGCUAGGUCUGGUGACCUGCCGGGGCUCAUAUCCCGAGAGCCCGGUUCGAUUCCGGGGCCAGCUACCA